GGGGCCAAGAUGUCGCUGGUCAAGAAGAGAAAGCUUGAGUCGGGGGGCGGCGGCGCAGGAGGGGAGGGAACGGAGGAGGAAAAUGGCGGGGAGCAGGAGGCAGCCCCGCCGGGACCCCGGAGGACCAAGCGCGAGCGAGACCAACAGUACUACGACUGCUACUCCGACGUCUCGGUGCACGAGGAGAUGAUCGCCGACCGCGUCCGCACCGACGCCUACCGCUUGGGCAUCCUGAGGAACUGGGCCGCGCUGCGAGGCAAGACCGUGCUGGACGUGGGCGCGGGCACCGGCAUUCUGAGCAUCUUCUGCGCCCAGGCCGGCGCCCGGCGCGUGUACGCCGUGGAGGCCAGCGCCAUCUGGCAACAGGCCCGGGAGGUGGUGCGGCUCAACGGGUUGGAGGACCGCGUGCACGUCCUGCCGGGCCCCGUGGAGACGGUGGAGCUGCCCGAGCAGGUGGACGCCAUCGUGAGCGAGUGGAUGGGCUACGGACUUCUGCACGAGUCCAUGCUGGGCUCCGUGCUCCACGCGCGGACCAGAUGGCUGAAGGAGGGCGGUCUCCUCCUGCCGGCCUCGGCGGAGCUCUUCGUGGCCCCGAUUAGCGACCAGAUGCUGGAAUGGCGUCUGGGUUUCUGGAGCCAGGUGAAGCAGCACUAUGGCGUGGAUAUGAGCUGCCUGGAAGGCUUUGCCACGCGCUGCCUCAUGGGCCACUCGGAGAUCGUGGUGCAGGGUCUGUCCGGCGAGGACGUGCUGGCCCGGCCGCAGCGCUUCGCCCAGCUCGAGCUGGCCCGCGCUGGCCUGGAGCAGGAGCUGGAGGCCGGGGUAGGCGGCCGCUUCCGCUGCAGCUGCUAUGGCUCGGCGCCUCUGCACGGUUUUGCCAUCUGGUUUCAGGUGACCUUCCCGGGAGGGGACUCGGAGAAGCCCCUGGUGCUGUCCACCUCGCCUUUUCACCCGGCUACGCACUGGAAGCAGGCGCUGCUCUACCUGAACGAGCCGGUGCCGGUGGAACAGGACACGGACAUUUCGGGAGAGAUCACCCUGCUGCCCUCCCGGGACAACCCCCGGCGUCUGCGCGUCCUUCUGCGAUACAAAGUGGGGGACCAUGAGGAAAAGACCAAAGACUUUGCCAUGGAGGACUGAGCGUUGCCUUUUCUCCCGUCUGCCUUCUUCGGAGGGUCAGAAGAAAGAGGGAGAUCUCCUAUGCACGUAGGGGACAUACUGUGUCUCUUUUACCUCACCGUUUCUGGGGAAGGAAGUGACUUCAGUCUUCACUUGAGGACAUUCUUCUGGCAAUGUGUAUUCAAAAAGUGAGCAUCCCUGACCAAGGACCGAUGCAGUGUGCUUAUCAAUGGGCUUUUAAGCCUGGAAAGCAUGUAGUAUCAAACUCUUUUGUGUUUCCGUGUCUUUUGUUUAACCGCGGGUGGGGGUGGGGGCCAAAAUGUGAAUUUAUAAUUGUUCCACGCGCUAAUCUGACACCGAAUCCCACUAUCUCUUAUGAAACUGGGAAGAAAAGCAAAAUGUUUCAGUUGGAUUGCGGGAAGUUUCCGGCACUGUUUGACAGUAUCAGCAUGGCUCUACAUGAGGAGCAGUGUAUGCUGCUGGGUACCAAAGGAUCCAAAGGAGCACCACAGCCAUUGGGAUGAAGACAGCCGAGAGGGAUGAAGGCCUGAGGUGUGUGGACACCCAGGCCCUGUCUGAUACGUUUGUGUGUUGGGGCUAGUAACUUGGAGCCCUUAGGACUACAGGCCUGGAUUAUCGGACCCUAGAGAAAAAAAAUGGUGAAGUUCCACCUACCUCCCUCACAGCUUGUGUUUAUUAAGCCCUCUAAAAAUUUCCAACUUUUUCAUUAGUUUAUUAAGCCAAUGAGCAUAGUUGCUGAAAAUGCAUUCUAAUAGUCACUGCAACAGGUAUUUGGGAUUACAAGCUAAUGUGAGCUCUACCCUUCAGCUGAUCACUGCCACUAGAGAAACUAAAGGCCACAGUGGUAGGCUAGAGCCUGGGGUAGUUUUCAUGUCAGGGAUGGAUCAAUUAUUUAUUUUACUCACUAAGUAAAAAGAUUUCUGUAGAUAUUGAUUGACUUGCCCGAAGUCCCAUAAAUAAUUUUUUCUUCUUUGUUUUGUGAGAGGAGAUCAUAUAUUGUGCAGGGCUGUCCUGGAACUCUGUAGCUGAGAAUGACUUUGGAUUCCUGAUGCUCCUGCCCCCACCUUCCAAAUGAUGGAAUUAACAGCUCUGUACCACUUUGCCCAGCACAGUCCUAAUUCUUGGCAACUAGAUCUUAAGCACAACUCUUUGACUUCUUAAACCUAAACAGAACUUCAUUUUCAUUAUAUUAAAGCUGUAUACUUAAGUCAAAAAAUAGGAAACUACGUAUCAUCUAAAUGGUAACAAGGGUUUUAUUAUUUGAUGAUGAGGGGAAAAUGUUUAGUACUAGAAAGUGUCUUAGACCUGCCUGGAAGAACCAUCUUAGGCGCUCAUUUGUAUAGCCCCUAUGUUAAUUUCCUUAACAAGUUAAUCAAAUGUGACACUUUCUGGGUCCCCCGGAAAACAGUCCAUGACAGUGGCAAAGGCAAGUCAUUGUCAUUUGAGCAAAGAUGCAUCUUAUGGAUCUAAAAGAUAAAAUAGAGUUCAAGAUGAUGAAUAUGAAAAGCACCUGCUGCAAACAGCUGCCUCACAUUUUGUUUACUGCCAGCCCUGCUGUUAGCCCCACAGUUGACCCAGGGCUGAGGAGAGCUAGCUCCCAGGAAGUAUUUAUUAACAGGCCUCCCCUCUCAACAUGUUCACCUCCGCUAAAUAUCAACAGCUGUGUAAUAUUUAAGCCCUGUGAUAAAUAAGCGCAUCUGCCCCUCAGCUAGGAUAUAGUGGGGACAGUGAAGAGACAUGAGUAAUUUGCAUGUGUCCACAAGCAUGGAAAUCCUUCCCAGCUCUUAGCUCUGCUGAGCAAGGUUAGAAAGGCAGUUGUCAUCCUUUAAGCCUCUCCGAGGAUCAGAAAUCCUGUUGCUAUUUUCAGGUAGAAUGAAAACCUGAAAAACGUUCCCAUCUGAUGUCGUAAAAUUACACAGUAUUCUCCAAAAUAUUGGUCUGUUCCAUAAUAGAGAAAAUAUAUUCAAUAGGUGAUCCUCAGCUACUAAAAUAAAAUUUAAGCUAAAUCUAUAUUCAGCUGUGUGUGUGUGUGUGUGUGUCUUCCCCAGCUUUCUAUGUGAUUUCCAUGCUCCAGUUUGUUGAUGAAUUAUGCUCUCACUUGAAAUAAAUAUUACAUGUCGUUUUUGAAAUUUAUGUAACUUGGUCUAUUCUUUGGGGCAUUAAAGUA